rnacentral:lncRNA from 1 species
GUUCUGGCUGCCAACCUUUCGUUUUUAACCCAAAAAAAGGAAUAAAGUGCAACCAAGGCCCUGAACCUUUUUGCUGAUGUUCAAUUAAGCCCAUUUUUAUCUUCUUACCAAAUACGUAAUGCCCUCAAGUUUCUGAUCAAGUCAAAUAGGCCCAAGUUUUUGCCAAAAUAAUUAAAGUGAUAAUUUCAAUUUUAAUAAUAACUAUCAAUGUUUAUAUUUUAAAUACUUACUCAAAUAUAAAAUUGGUAAAUCAAUACAGAAAGAGAACAAAUUCCAUAAACUAAACUUGAAUCCAGAAUACAUAUCCAUGAUAACACAAACCCAAAACUCCUCAAGAAAACAGACAUUCACAACGAAUCAUAAUUGAUCAAACACAAACCAAAACAAAUUAAUUUUCUCCUCUUAAGAACACAAACCCAGAACUUCUGAUAAUCGACUCCAUAACCUUGUCACUUUCAACCAUCUGCAAACUUAAUCUU